rnacentral:rRNA from 1 species
GUCUACGGCCAUGCUACCCUGAACAAGCCUGAUCCCACCUGAUCUCGGAAGCUAAGCAAGGUUGGGCCUGGUUAGUACUUGGAUGGGAGACUAUCUAAGAAGACCAGGUAUUGUAGGCG